UGCAGAUGUACUCAUCUGUGGAUGCCAAAGCCUUCUUGAAAUGUAGUUGCUGAAUUUAGGCAAGCUAGAUAAGAUUUUUGAGAAAUAAGUUAUUUCCUUCUGAUUUUCUUCAAAAUAAUCUUUCCUCCUAACUUAGAUAUGUUUCUUCUCUUAUGCUUGUUCUCUUUUCACUCUGUACUCAGAGCAGUGAGUAACAUGUGGUACGUGCAUUUGCAAAUUCAUAUCACCUUUUUUAAUAUAUUCAUUGCAGUACGUGAUUAAGUUGAAAAGUAAAAUUCUUGUUGUUUGCUACCAUGCAAGCCCACUUUCUUUAGGGUGAGUUCCUAAUACUCUCAUGAUUUCCCAACUAUCAUGCAAAGGUCAACAAGCAGAGUGGGGUGCAGAUCUUUAAACAUAGUUGCUUUCAGAGUCUUCCAAACUCUGGUCUUUGUUCUCUGGGGGACAUUCACAGAAGCCAACAUCUUCUCAAUCCCCCUGCUCUCCAGCUAUAAUGAAAAGAAAGAGGGAGAUUGAGGCUGUGCCAGAAGGAGAAUAGAAGUACCUGAAGUUACUCUGAAUCCUCCUCUGCAGGAGCAUUUUCUUCCACUACCUAUUGAAGUGAAGUCUCCUUAGCUAAAGGUGGCGGAAAUCCAAGGCGUGAUGACCUGGCCUCCUCCUGUGAGAACGCUUGGCAAACAGCUCAAUUUCUGGCCUAUCUUUGAAUCGCAAGCAUGCACCCUAAACUUGUCGAGUGAAUGGCAGGAGGUGGCAUGUUGCUGUCUUGUCUCUGCUUUUGGAAAAGAUCAGAACCUGAGCUUCCUGAUGGCACAACCAUACUGUGGUUUCCAUGGCAGAUCUGGGAGAUGAUGUUUCCCAUGAGGGUUAUUUAUACAACUAUUUUCAGGUAGGUUCCAGACUAGCGAACAUGAUGUGCUUUGUGUCUUAUUUU
rnacentral:lncRNA from 1 species